UACGGAGGGGGCUAGCGUUGUUCGGAAUUACUGGGCGUAAAGCGCACGUAGGCGGCUUUGUAAGUCAGAGGUGAAAUCCCGGGGCUCAACCCCGGAACUGCCUUUGAGACUGCAUCGCUUGAAUCCAGGAGAGGUGAGUGGAAUUCCGAGUGUAGAGGUGAAAUUCGUAGAUAUUCGGAAGAACACCAGUGGCGAAGGGCGGCUCACUGGACUGGU
rnacentral:rRNA from 1 species